GCGGCACGAGUUGUAGAUUGCAGGUUGGAGUCUGUGUGGAAGGCGGUGUCCAAGUCCCUUGGAACAGGGCGCCCAGGAGGGUGAGAGCCCCGUGGGAUGCCGGCGGAAGCAGUGAGGCCCUUCUGACGAGUCGAGUUGUUUGGGAAUGCAGCUCCAAGCGGGUGGUAAAUUCCAUCUAAGGCUAAAUACUGGCGAGAGACCGAUAGCGAACAAGUACUGUGAAGGAAAGAUGAAAAGCACUUUGAAAAGAGAGUGAAACAGCACGUGAAAUUGUUGAAAGGGAAGGGUAUUGCGCCCGACAUGGGGAUUGCGCACCGCUGCCUCUCGUGGGCGGCGCUCUGGGCUUUCCCUGGGCCAGCAUCGGUUCUUGCUGCAGGAGAAGGGGUUCUGGAACGUGGCUCUUCGGAGUGUUAUAGCCAGGGCCAGAUGCUGCGUGCGGGGACCGAGGACUGCGGCCGUGUAGGUCACGGAUGCUGGCAGAACGGCGCAACACCGCCCGUCUUGGAAACACGGGA
rnacentral:rRNA from 1 species